CAUAUCCGAUGCAGUGGGGAAUAUUGGACAAUGGGGGCAACCCUGAUCCAGCGACGCCGCGUGUGUGAAGAAGGCCUGCGGGUUGUAAAGCACUUUUAGUGGGGAUGAAAAGUUCAGGGCUAACACCUCUGGAUCUUGACCUAACCCAAAGAAAAAGCACCGGCUAACUCUGUGCCAGCAGCCGCGGUAAUACAGAGGGUGCAAGCGUUAAUCGGAAUUACUGGGCGUAAAGCGUGCGUAGUCGGUUAUUUAAGUCGGAUGUGAAAUCCCCGGGCUCAACCUGGGAAUUGCAUUCGAAACUGGAUAGCUAGAGUUCGGCAGAGGGAAGUGGAAUUUCAGGUGUAGCGGUGAAAUGCGUAGAUGUCUGAAGGAACAUCAGUGGCGAAAGCGACUUCCUGGACCAGAACUGACGAUCAGGCACGAAAGCGUGGGAGCAGGUUAAUUGAUCACGCAAAACCUCACUGGUUUGACAUGUCUGGAAUCCCGAAGAGAUUUGGGAGUUCCGCAAGGAGCCAGAACACAGGUGCUGCAUGGCUGUCGUCAGCUCGUGUCGUGAGAUGUUGGGUUAAGUCCCGCAACGAGCGCAACCCUUGUCCUUAGUUGCCAUCAUUAAGUUGGGAACUCUAAGGAGACCGCCGGUGACAAACCGGAGGAAGGUGGGGAUGACGUCAAGUCAUCAUGGCCUUUAUGACCAGGGCUACACACGUGCUACAAUGGCAGGUACAGAGGGAAGCCAACCCGCGAGGGGGAGCUAAUCCCAGAAAGCCUGUCUUAGUCCGGAUUGGAGUGUGCAACUUGACUCCAUGAAGUUGGAAUCGCUUGUAAUAAUGCGAAUCAGCAUUGCUGCGGUGAAUACGUCCCGGGCCUGUACAC
rnacentral:rRNA from 2 species